rnacentral:rRNA from 1 species
UGCAAGUCGAACGAGUUUCCGGGCUUGCUCGGAAAUUAGUGGCGAACGGCUGAGUAACGCGUAGGUGACCUACCCCGUAGUGAGGAAUAACUGCCCGAAAGGGUAGCUAAUACCUCAUGUUGAGACGCUUUCAUUAGCGUCUCCAGAGCAGCAAUGCGCUAUGGGCGGGGCCUGCGUUCGAUUAGCUAGUUGGUGAGGUAAUGGCUCACCAAGGCGACGAUCGAUAGGUGGUCUGAGAGGACGAUCACCCAGACUGGGACUGAGACACGUCCCAGACUCCUACGGGAGGCAGCAGUCGGGAAUUUUGCGCAAUGGGGGAAACCCUGACGCAGCAAUACCGCGUGUGGGAUGAAGGCCUUCGGGUCGUAAACCACUUUUCUCGGGGACGAUAAUGACGGUACCCGAGGAAUAAGCCACGGCUAACUACGUGCCAGCAGCCGCGGUAAUACGUAGGUGGCAAGCGUUGUCCGGAUUUACUGGGCGUAAAGCGCGCGCAGGCGGUGAAUGAAGUCGAAAGUGAAAGCCCCGGGCUCAACUCGGGAACAGCUUUCGAAACCAGUUCACUUGAAGGUGGAAGAUGGAAGUGGAAUUCCGAGUGUAGCGGUGAAUCCGCAGAUAUUCGGAGGAACACCAGAGGCGAAAGCGACUACCUGGUCCAAAUCUUGACGCUGAGGCGCGAAAGCUAGGGGAGCAAACAGGAUUAGAUAUCCUGGUAGUCCUAGCUGUAAACGAUGGAUACUAGGUGUUGGAGGUUUUAA